rnacentral:rRNA from 1 species
GAAUGUUGGCAUGAGUAGCGAGAUGUGGGUGAGAAUCCCACAGGCCGUAAACCCAAGGUUUCCAGGGGAAGGUUCGUCCGCCCUGGGUUAGUCGGGACCUAAGCUGAGGCCGAAAGGCGUAGGUGAUGGACAACAGGUUGAUAUUCCUGUACUACCGAUAACCGUUUGAGAGAAGGGAUGACACAGUAGGAUAAGCUAAGCACACUGUUGGUUAUGUGUGCCCAAGCAUUGAGGCAGUCAAAGUAGGCAAAUCCGCUUUGAUAAUGCUGGGAUGUGAUGGGGAGCGAAAUUUAGUAGCGAAGUAGCUGAUUUCACACUGUCAAGAAAAGUCUCUAUCGAGGUUAAAGGUACCCGUACCGCAAACCGACACAGGUGGGUGAGGAGAGUAUCCUAAGGCCAGCGAGAGAACUGUUGUUAAGGAACUCGGCAAAAUGACCCCGUAACUUAGGGAUAAGGGGUGCCACCAUCAGGUGGCCGCAGAGAAUAGGCCCAAGCGACUGUUUACCAAAAACAUAGGUUUCUGCUAAGUCGCAAGACGAUGUAUAGGAGCUGACGCCUGCCCGGUGCUGGAAGGUUAAGGGGAUCUGUUAGAGCAAUCGAAGCAGUGAACUUAAGCCCCAGUAAACGGCGGCCGUAACUAUAACGGUCCUAAGGUAGCGAAAUUCCUUGUCGGGUAAGUUCCGACCCGCACGAAAGGCGUAACGAUUUGGGCACUGUCUCAACAACAGACUCGGUGAAAUUGUAAUUCCGGUGAAGAUGCCGGAUACCUGCGACAGGACGGAAAGACCCCAUGGAGCUU